CUGGGUAUCAGCAGCGGCACACUUUACAACUUUCCUGAAUGGCAUAAAUGUCAUUCUAGAAAACCACGAGGGCGAAAACGGUUUUACCAACUUCCUUUACUGGUGGCCCGUGGCGCAUACCCAUAUUUUGAGCGUGCGUAGCUGCCCAAGUUUGUAGGCCCGAGAUUAUGAGUACUUUAUUAGAGCAAUACAGUGUACCAAAAAAAAAAGGGAAUCGUUGCAAAUCGCUGUUCGUCUAUCAAUUGCGCGUCAUCAGAAAAGCCUUGGGUGAGGCCGGCAUGUUGUAGCUACGCACAUUUGGCGCAGCCUAUUUGUAUGUCUCGCUGUGGACAUAUGGACAUCAAACUUGCUUCGGACGUAACAAUCGGGUAGAUUAUCGCCUGGCAUGGGUGGUUUUACUCACCUCUACCAGACCCCAAAUCUUGGUGCGUCAGCUAAAACGGACUAUAACGUGGUUACCAAUUAAAUGAGAUUUUGACACAUUACCCGCAGCAUUCUCACCCCUACGCUAGUAAUUGUCGAGAAGCGCUGCUUCCAGACGUCGGCAGGGGAGAUCCGAACUUAUGAUAAUGAUGCUUUUAUGGAGAAAUAUUGUGUACCCCAACGACCAAUCCA